GCUUGCGUGGUCUAGCGGUUAUGAUCUCGGUUUCCCAAGCAGGAAUUAACCGAGGGCCCGGGGUUCGACUCCCCGCGUAAGCA